UGGACCGUCUCCAUCCCAUCCUCUGCGCCUCUCACUGAAACUCUUAUCCAUUCUCUUUCUUUGCCCCAACAAAAGAAAAAAUCUCUCACUUUCUCUUACCAAUUUUUUUGGACUAUAGCCAUCGCCCUGAAACUUCCACUUCCUCACAGCCUCAAAUUAAAGUGAUGUGAAUGAGAAAAGGCUGUGCUGAAAGGAUUUGAUAGCUCUACUAGAUCUUAUUCUUAAAGGUUAAUUCCAAAAAUUGAGGUAGCAUGUUAGUCCCUCACUCUCAGUGCUGUGAAAACCCACCAAUUCUAUGCUCAAGCACUAGAACGGGGCAUGUUGAAGAGCUUGGAGGCCUCAAAUACUAUAUUUCUGGCACUGCGGAUUCCAAGCUUGCAGCUAUUCUGGUCUGUAAUGUUUUUUGUAUGUAGUUUCUAAAAUAUUUGAUUUUGGGUAUUGUAAAGUUUUAAUCUCGUGUUGAUUUAGGGGGAUGUAUUCAAUUAGGACUUUUGAAGAUUCUGAUGAAAUUUUUUUAAGUUAUGACUUUUGUGGAUUUUAUGGAUCUUUUAAAAAUUUAUAUGAAAUUAGUGAAAGUCUUUCGUAGAUUUCUAUGGAUUUUCAUUUUAAAAUUUUUAUAGACUUCUGUGAAAUUCAAAUACUUUUUUUUAUAAUUUAAUAAAAAAUAGAUAUUUUUCACAAAAAAUGAAUGAAAAAAAAAAGUUAUAGGAAUCCUAUUUAAUUUUUCAUUAAAAAAAGAGAUAAAUAAUAAGAGAGAGAAAAAUAAAUGGAAUAUAAUAAAUAUAAAAAAAAUAAAUUUUAAUUAUGCAUGUCCAUAGAAGGUUAAAGGAAAGAAAGAUUGAAAAAAAAAAUUGCGAAAGUCUUUCAAAAUUUCGUAAUUAAUGAGAGACAAAUUUUAACAUAUUAUAUGAGUAUUUUCUACUUAAAAGUUAGUACUUCAGAGACUUUUAUAAAAGUCUCUAGAAGUCAUUAAAAUUUGAAUACCCCAAAACUUAUAGAGACUUCUAAAACGUUUUAAUUGAAUACACCGUAACUUUUAGAGACUUUUUAAAAAUCUAUAAAAGUCUUAAUUGAAUAAACCGUGACUUUUAGAAAGUCUCAAUUGAAUAUCCUUAAACUUUUUAAAUUCCAAAAAGUCAUUAGUGUUUCUUCUGUAGAGUUUUUAUUUUUUUAAUUAUUAUUAUUAUUAUUAUUUUUUUUUAUUACAGAAAACAGGUGGUAAAAAUUAUUUAUAUUCUUGAAUGUGUGUCCUUUUGUAGAGUUUCAUUUGGCCGAGUUAGGUUUGUGUGUUAUAAAGUGGUUUAUUAUCAAGCAAGAUUUCAUUUUUGUUGCAUAUUUCAAUUGGGUUUUCUUAUUUAUGUUCUCGAGUAUGUGAUUUGGAUACCUUAAAGCCUCAAAAAUUUCUUAUCUUAUUCAAUGGUAUUAGUUGUUUUUAAGGUUAUGAACGCAUUUGUCUAUUGGAUAUAUCAUAUUUUCUAUCUGAAACCAUAAAAACAACGUAAAAUGAAAAUCCAUUUCAAUCAAAAUAUAGGAUUUAUCAAAAUGAUCAAAAUCUACAUGCAGAAGGAAUGAAUAAUUUUACUUGUGGCUAUCUUCCGAUUCCAGAUUCUGAAUUGCCUAUUGAAUUUUAAACCACUGCUAUCUAAUAUGAUUUUUUGGAUUUGUGAUAGUAAUGCUCACAUUUCAAUUUUCUAGGAUUUUAACAUCGCUCCAAUCCCACUAUCUGCCCAAGCAACUUUCCCUACAUAUUUGCAGUGAACACAUUUUUAUAGGCAAGUG
rnacentral:lncRNA from 1 species